rnacentral:lncRNA from 1 species
CACUUAGUAUUCUAAUAGAAUGGAAAGCGGCGUCAUCUGUUGACAAAAAAAAAAAAACAUGAUUUUAUAUCUGACUCUAAAAACAAUAGAAUGUUCAGCUACUUGGAAUAUUUGAAUUAGAAAUGAUUUUCUUUGCUUUAAAAAAUAAUUUACAAAGAAUGAUUGCAAACGUCGUGAAAACUAAAAAAAAACUGUUUUCCUUUGCUGCUUUGAGUCUUUAUUUAUCUGUUUUUUCCCUCUUCUAAAAUUGAUAUCAGUGCCAAGAGAAAAAAAUUUUGUUUUCAUAAUUAUUAAUUGUCUAUUAUAAGCGAUGUUAAACUAAACUUUUACUAUUAUUAAUUUUUAUUUUAACUGUUUUUCCAUACUGAAAUAGAAGAAUUAUUUACAAAAUGCCAGUGAGAAGAAAACAUCAAAUACUCGUCUAAUAUUCGGAAUAUGUGCAUCAAAAUUUUUCCGUAAAAACUUCGCAUAUAUUUCUACUAAACCUGAUAAUAAUAAUAAAAUUUAUUGCUUAAUAGUGAGCAGCAAAAAUUUAUUGUGUCUGAAAUAUAAAUUUUUCACGAGAUUGCCCAUUAGGCCUACAUAAUUUAAAAUUUAGAAUCCCUACAUGUUUGUAUAAUGUAAUAAAAUAUUGACUGAUAAAUAUCCCCAUAUGAUGUCAAGUAAUAAUGGACCUUAGUCAUUUUUGUAAAAACAAAGUUUAUUUUUGCCUAUUAUUAAAAACGGGAACAAUAGUAAAAGAACUAAAUAGAGGGGAAAUGAAAACUUUUAUUGAAUGAUUAGGUGAACAUUUUCAAAUCUUCUUUUUUAGAAAUGUUUAAACCGAAAAUAAUACUUUAAUGUAUAAAAAUAUGGUAAAUCCUAAAAUAAAUUCGAUGAUAUUCCCUCUGUUUCUAUUUUAAUCUUCAUCAUUGCGUUGUAAGAUUGAGCUAUUUUUUACUUAAAGUCUAUAAAUUACGAUCGGUAAUGAUGUACCGGAAAUGCACUUCUCUAGGUGUCAAAAUGUUUAAUCACCUAAAUGUCUGAAUAAUAAUCAGCUUUUUCUGGUCAACAGGUGAUGCCACUUUCCAUUCAGGCGAAAGUGGCAGGAAUAAGCCCUUCUGCAGAUACUCACCCUGCGAAGGAUUCAACAGGAUUGCGGAAGACGGAAAGUGAUAGGUCGGACCCGUACCGCAUGAUAAAUAUUUUCAAGAGGUGGGACCGAGACUCAAAUCCAAAUCCUACCCCUUGGAAAACCGAAGCGUUUCUACGAGGCCAAUCCUGCCGACUAAUGAUGAUAAUCAGCUAUUCCUCCC